rnacentral:rRNA from 1 species
GACGAACGCUGGCGGCGUGCUUAACACAUGCAAGUCGAACGGAAAGGCCCUGCUUUUGUGGGGUGCUCGAGUGGCGAACGGGUGAGUAACACGUGAGUAACCUGCCCUUGACUUUGGGAUAACUUCAGGAAACUGGGGCUAAUACCGGAUAGGAGCUCCUGCUGCAUGGUGGGGGUUGGAAAGUUUCGGCGGUUGGGGAUGGACUCGCGGCUUAUCAGCUUGUUGGUGGGGUAGUGGCUUACCAAGGCUUUGACGGGUAGCCGGCCUGAGAGGGUGACCGGCCGCAUUGGGACUGAGAUACGGCCCAGACGCCUACGGGAGGCAGCGGUGGGGAAUAUUGCACAAUGGGCGGAAGCCUGAUGCAGCAACGCCGCGUGCGGGAUGACGGCCUUCGGGUUGUAAACCGCUUUCGCCUGUGACGAAGCGUGAGUGACGGUAAUGGGUAAAGAAGCACCGGCUAACUACGUG